UACAGAGGUCUCAAGCGUUGUUCGGAUUCAUUGGGCGUAAAGGGUGCGUAGGUGGCGAUGUAAGUCUGGUGUGAAAUCUCGGGGCUCAACCUCGAAAUUGCAUUGGAUACUGCGUUGCUUGAGGAUUGUAGAGGAGAGUGGAAUUCACGGUGUAGCAGUGAAAUGCGUAGAUAUCGUGAGGAAGACCAGUUGCGAAGGCGAGUCCCUGGACAACUCCUGACACUGAGGCACGAAAGCUAGGGGAGCAAACAGG
rnacentral:rRNA from 1 species